rnacentral:misc_RNA from 1 species
GAUGAAGAACGCAGCGAAAUGCGAUAAGUAAUGUGAAUUGCAGAAUUCAGUGAAUCAUCGAAUCUUUGAACGCACAUUGCGCCCGCUAGUAUUCUGGCGGGCAUGCCUGUCCGAGCGUCAUUUCAACCCUCAAGCCCCCGGGCUUGGUGUUCGGGAUCGGCGAGCCUCCGCGCCCGCCGUCCCCUAAAUCUAGUGGCGGUCUCGCUGUAGCUUCCUCUGCGUAGUAGCACACCUCGCACUGGGAAACAGCGCGGCCACGCCGUUAAACCCCCAACUUCUGAACGUUUGACCUCGGAUCAGGUAGGAAUACCCGCUGAACUUAAGCAUAUCAAUAAGCGGAGGA